GACGAACGCUGGCGGCGUGCUUAACACAUGCAAGUCGAACGGAAAGGCCCUGCUUUUGUGGGGUGCUCGAGUGGCGAACGGGUGAGUAACACGUGAGUAACCUGCCCUUGACUUUGGGAUAACUUCAGGAAACUGGGGCUAAUACCGGAUAGGAGCUCCUGCUGCAUGGUGGGGGUUGGAAAGUUUCGGCGGUUGGGGAUGGACUCGCGGCUUAUCAGCUUGUUGGUGGGGUAGUGGCUUACCAAGGCUUUGACGGGUAGCCGGCCUGAGAGGGUGACCGGCCACAUUGGGACUGAGAUACGGCCCAGACUCCUACGGGAGGCAGCAGUGAGGAAUAUUGCACAAUGGGCGGAAGCCUGAUGCAGCAACGCCGCGUGCGGGAUGACGGCCUUCGGGUUGUAAACCGCCUUCGCCUGUGACGAAGCGUGAGUGACGGUAAUGGGUAAAGAAGCACCGGCUAACUACGUG
rnacentral:rRNA from 1 species